rnacentral:misc_RNA from 1 species
GGGCUGUUGGUGGUGUUUGUUUUCGUUGGAAAAGGCGUGGGUGUGUGUGGUUGGAGGGGUGGUGGGUGUUUUUGUUUGUUUUGGGGGAAUGUUGAGGGUAGCGCGCUUGAUUGUAGUAUGCGGUUUUUUUUUUGUGAGGAAGUUGAAGGUGGUACAGGGAGAAAGCGAAUGAGAUGCAGGUGAGGUUGUUGUUUUUGCUGAUUUUUCGUUGGUGAUGUACUUUAGAUGGUUUUGGUGGUUUGGAUGGAAUCAUUGUAGUGUUUGUUUUUGUGGUUUCUGGGGCGGACAGCCUUAUUCAUCUGUAACGGAGCGGGGAGUGGAGCAGUCUGAGGGUCCUGGGUUUGCUGUCGAGGUGAGCUGCUAUGCUGUGGUUUCGUGCUUGUGAUGUCUUGUUCGCGGUCGAUUCGGGGGGGGGGGGGUGGAGGGAAUGCACUUGCUUGGCUUUUGAGUCUCGUUAAUUGGUGAAUCGGGAGGUGAUUUGCUGUGGCGGGUUUGGUGUUAGACGAGUUCAGCAUCUGGGGCGGCCUCGAGGACGGCGCCUAGUGUGAUUAGGGCGGGCCUUUUUCAGUGGUGCAGUUGAUUAUUGGUGAGAUGCGAUGGUGUUCUUAUGGUUGCUGGCAACUUGUUGUUGUUCGUAAGAGGCGGGCGCUUAUUCUUGUGCUGCGUUUUUUGUGGAAAAGGGAGCCGUCACACAUGCUAGUGUGUUGUGUAGUGCCUUUGGCCGCGGAGAAACGGCGGCUGUAGGUUCUUGAUUUUCAAGGAAUAUGCUAGUGGACCCCAGAGCGCAUUUUUCCAUGGAUCAUGUCUCUUUCUCCGCUGCUGAAUAGGACUAGCUGUCGGCAGCAAUGCUUAUCGUGCAAGGGAGGCGAUAGCAGUGCGCUUACAAU